rnacentral:rRNA from 1 species
UACGAAGGGGGCUAGCGUUGCUCGGAAUCACUGGGCGUAAAGCGCACGUAGGCGGACUCUUAAGUCGGGGGUGAAAUCCUGGAGCUCAACUCCAGAACUGCCUUCGAUACUGGGAGUCUUGAGUUCGGGAGAGGUGAGUGGAACUGCGAGUGUAGAGGUGAAAUUCGUAGAUAUUCGCAAGAACACCAGUGGCGAAGGCGGCUCACUGGCCCGAUACUGACGCUGAGGUGCGAAAGCGUGGGGAG